GACGAACGCUGGCGGCGUGCUUAACACAUGCAAGUCGAGCGGUAAGGCCCUUUCGGGGGUACACGAACGGCGAACGGGUGAGUAACACGUGGGUGACCUGCCCUCAGCUCUGGGAUAAGCCUGGGAAACCGGGUCUAAUACUGGAUAUGACUCCAUGACGCAUGUUGUGGGGUGGAAAGCCUUGUGCGGCUGAGGAUGGGCCCGCGGCCUAUCAGCUUGUUGGUGGGGUGAUGGCCUACCAAGGCGACGACGGGUAGCCGGCCUGAGAGGGCGACCGGCCACACUGGGACUGAGACACGGCCCAGACUCCUACGGGAGGCAGCAGUGGGGAAUAUUGCACAAUGGACGCAAGUCUGAUGCAGCGACGCCGCGUGAGGGAUGACGGCCUGG
rnacentral:rRNA from 1 species